rnacentral:rRNA from 1 species
UACGGAAGGCAGCAGUGGGGAAUAUUGCACAAUGGGCGCAAGCCUGAUGCAGCCAUGCCGCGUGUAUGAAGAAGGCCUUCGGGUUGUAAAGUACUUUCAGUCGUGAGGAAGGUGUUAAGGUUAAUAACCUUAGCAAUUGACGUUAGCGACAGAAGAAGCACCGGCUAACUCCGUGCCAGCAGCCGCGGUAAUACGGAGGGUGCGAGCGUUAAUCGGAAUUACUGGGCGUAAAGGGCACGCAGGCGGUUAAUUAAGUUGGAUGUGAAAUCCCCGGGCUUAACCUGGGAAUGGCAUUCAAGACUGGUUAGCUAGAGUCUUGUAGAGGGGGUAGAAUUCCAUGUGUAGCGGUGAAAUGCGUAGAGAUGUGGAGGAAUACCGGUGGCGAAGGCGGCCCCUGGACAAAGACUGACGCUCAUGUGCGAAAGCGUGGGGAGCAAACGAGGGAUUAGA